AUAAAAUUAACACAAUUCAAAAUAUUCCGUCAGAUGAAAGAUGGAAACAUGCGGAAGCUAGUAUUAAAAUUCAUACAUCUAGUAGAGAUACAAAAGAUUCAAACAUUUCAA